rnacentral:rRNA from 1 species
AUUGGGGAAUUUUCCGCAAUGGGCGAAAGCCUGACGGAGCAACGCCGCGUGAGGGAUGAAGGCCUCUGGGCUGUAAACCUCUUUUAUCAAGGAAGAAGAUCUGACGGUACUUGAUGAAUAAGCCACGGCUAAUUCCGUGCCAGCAGCCGCGGUAAUACGGGAGUGGCAAGCGUUAUCCGGAAUUAUUGGGCGUAAAGCGUCCGCAGGCGGUCUUGUAAGUCUGUCGUUAAAGCGUGGAGCUUAACUCCAUUUAAGCGAUGGAAACUGCAAGACUAGAGUGUGGUAGGGGCAGAGGGAAUUCCCGGUGUAGCGGUGAAAUGCGUAGAUAUCGGGAAGAACACCAGUGGCGAAGGCGCUCUGCUGGGCCAUAACUGACGCUCAUGGACGAAAGCCAGGGGAGCGAAAGGGAUUAGAUACCCCUGUAGUCAAU